rnacentral:tRNA from 1 species
UAUAGCUCAGUGGUAGAGUGCUUGCCUAGUAUGUGGGAGGUGAGAGGUCUGGGUUCAAUCCCCAGUA